GACGAACGCUGGCGGCGUGCUUAACACAUGCAAGUCACGGGGGCUCGCAAGAGCAACCGGCGAACGGGUGCGUAACACGUGAGCAACCUGCCGAUCUGAGGGGGAUAGCCGGCCCAACGGCCGGGUAAUACCGCAUACGUUCUCGAGGGGGAGUCCUCUUGAGAAGAAACCUCCGGGGCAGAUCGAGGGGCUCGCGGCCUAUCAGCUAGUUGGUGAGGUAACGGCUCACCAAGGCAUCGACGGGUAGCUGGUCUGAGAGGAUGGCCAGCCACAUUGGGACUGAGAGACGGCCCAGACUCCUACGGGAGGCAGCAGUGGGGAAUAUUGGACAAUGGGCGAAAGCCUGAUCCAGCCAUGCCGCGUGAGUGAUGAAGGCCUUAGGGUUGUAAAGCUCUUUUACCCGGGAAGAUAAUGACUGUACCGGGAGAAUAA
rnacentral:rRNA from 1 species